rnacentral:rRNA from 1 species
UGGCGGGCCUUAGCGCGGUGGUCCCACCUGACCCCAUGCCGAACUCAGAAGUGAAACGCCGUAGCGCCGAUGGUAGUGUGGGGUCUCCCCAUGCGAGAGUAGGGAACUGCCAGGCA